rnacentral:misc_RNA from 1 species
GUGGGAGGGGGCUUGCUCCCGAUGGCGGUGUGUCAGUCGAUGGAUGUACCAACUGACACUCCGCUAUCGGGAGCAAGCCCCCUCCCAC